rnacentral:rRNA from 1 species
UAAUUUGAGAGUUUGAUCCUGGCUCAGGACGAACGCUGGCGGCGUGCCUAAUACAUGCAAGUCGAACGAACUCUGGUAUUGAUUGGUGCUUGCAUCAUGAUUUACAUUUGAGUGAGUGGCGAACUGGUGAGUAACACGUGGGAAACCUGCCCAGAAGCGGGGGAUAACACCUGGAAACAGAUGCUAAUACCGCAUAACAACUUGGACCGCAUGGUCCGAGUUUGAAAGAUGGCUUCGGCUAUCACUUUUGGAUGGUCCCGCGGCGUAUUAGCUAGAUGGUGGGGUAACGGCUCACCAUGGCAAUGAUACGUAGCCGAUCUGAGAGGGUAAUCGGCCACAUUGGGACUGAGACACGGCCCAAACUCCUACGGGAGGCAGCAGUAGGGAAUCUUCCACAAUGGACGAAAGUCUGAUGGAGCAACGCCGCGUGAGUGAAGAAGGGUUUCGGCUCGUAAAACUCUGUUGUUAAAGAAGAACAUAUCUGAGAGUAACUGUUCAGGUAUUGACGGUAUUUAACCAGAAAGCCACGGCUAACUACGUGCCAGCAGCCGCGGUAAUACGUAGGUGGCAAGCGUUGUCCGGAUUUAUUGGGCGUAAAGCGAGCGCAGGCGGUUUUUUAAGUCUGAUGUGAAAGCCUUCGGCUCAACCGAAGAAGUGCAUCGGAAACUGGGAAACUUGAGUGCAGAAGAGGACAGUGGAACUCCAUGUGUAGCGGUGAAAUGCGUAGAUAUAUGGAAGAACACCAGUGGCGAAGGCGGCUGUCUGGUCUGUAACUGACGCUGAGGCUCGAAAGUAUGGGUAGCAAACAGGAUUAGAUACCCUGGUAGUCCAUACCGUAAACGAUGAAUGCUAAGUGUUGGAGGGUUUCCGCCCUUCAGUGCUGCAGCUAACGCAUUAAGCAUUCCGCCUGGGGAGUACGGCCGCAAGGCUGAAACUCAAAGGAAUUGACGGGGGCCCGCACAAGCGGUGGAGCAUGUGGUUUAAUUCGAAGCUACGCGAAGAACCUUACCAGGUCUUGACAUACUAUGCAAAUCUAAGAGAUUAGACGUUCCCUUCGGGGACAUGGAUACAGGUGGUGCAUGGUUGUCGUCAGCUCGUGUCGUGAGAUGUUGGGUUAAGUCCCGCAACGAGCGCAACCCUUAUUAUCAGUUGCCAGCAUUAAGUUGGGCACUCUGGUGAGACUGCCGGUGACAAACCGGAGGAAGGUGGGGAUGACGUCAAAUCAUCAUGCCCCUUAUGACCUGGGCUACACACGUGCUACAAUGGAUGGUACAACGAGUUGCGAACUCGCGAGAGUAAGCUAAUCUCUUAAAGCCAUUCUCAGUUCGGAUUGUAGGCUGCAACUCGCCUACAUGAAGUCGGAAUCGCUAGUAAUCGCGGAUCAGCAUGCCGCGGUGAAUACGUUCCCGGGCCUUGUACACACCGCCCGUCACACCAUGAGAGUUUGUAACACCCAAAGUCGGUGGGGUAACCUUUUAGGAACCAGCCGCCUAAGGUGGGACAGAUGAUUAGGGUGAAGUCGUAACAAGGUAGCCGUAGGAGAACCUGCGGCUGGAUCACCUCCUUU